rnacentral:rRNA from 1 species
GACGAACCGUGCGAACGUUAUUCGGAAUCACUGGGCUUAAAGCGCGUGUAGGCGGGUAUCCACGUCGGUCGCUGAAAUCCCCCGGCUCAACCGGGGAACGGGCGCCGAUACGAGGUACCUGGAGGGAGGUAGGGGGAGCCGGAACUUCCGGUGGAGCGGUGAAAUGCGUUGAGAUCGGAAGGAACGCCCGUGGCGAAAGCGGGCUCCUGGACCUCACCUGACGCUGAGACGCGAAAGCUAGGGGAGCAAACGGG